rnacentral:lncRNA from 1 species
CCACGGAAGGUUGGCGGGGUUGCGGUUGGAGACGACCUUGAUGACCUUGCCGUCGACCGAGAUGGCGGAGUCACCCUCGGGCUUGACGUUGGCUUCGAAGAUGCCGAGGGUGGAGUCGUACUUGAGGAGGUGGGAGGCCUGCUUGACGCCUCCGGUGUCGUUGAUGGCCACCACGUCCAGGGGCGAGUCCUUGCGCCCGUGCCAGCACCGCAGGAAGUUGCGCCCGAUGCGGCCGAACCCGUUGAUGGCCACCUUUACCUUCGCCUCCGCCGCGCCCUUCCGGUACCCUCCGCUGCU